rnacentral:misc_RNA from 1 species
AUAUGUGAAACAAACCCCAAAUGUGCGUUCACUGUGGGAUAUGGGCUUGCAGCUUUUCCGCAAGCAUCUCUCUCUUGCCUCAGAAGUAGAACACAAAACUGUUUUUGGCCUCCUACAGAUGAUUGAGACCGAAAGAUUAGGUGAGGCAGUUGAUCGAACUCUGCUUAACCAUCUUUUGAAGAUGUUCACUGCCUUGGGGAUUUAUGCUGAAAGUUUUGAAAAGCCAUUUCUUGAGCGUACUUCUGAGUUUUAUGCUGCUGAAGGUGUCAAAUACAUGCAGCAGUCAGAUGUUCCAGAUUACCUGAAGCAUGUGGAGGUAAGGUUACAUGAAGAACAUGACAGGUGCUUACUCUACCUGGAUGCAAGUACUAGAAAACCACUGAUAGCAACUGCAGAGAGGCAACUUUUAGAACAACACAUUUCUGCAAUUCUUGAUAAGGGUUUCACAGUGUUGAUGGAUGGUAAUCGUAUUGAAGAUCUCCAAAGGAUGUAUAUGCUAUUUUGCAGGGUCAAUGAUCUCGAAUCUUUAAGGCAAGCACUUAGCUCAUAUAUCCGAAGAACUGGUCAGAGCAUUGUGCUAGAUGAAGAGAAAGACAAAGAUAUGGUACCCAGCCUCUUGGAAUUUAAGGCAUCUCUUGAUACCAUAUGGGAAGAAAGCUUUUCUAAG